CAAAUAGCAAGAGCUGUCAAAUGAAGCAGGCGACGUCAAAUAAGUGAGCGCCGUCAGCCAGAAGUUCUUUUAAUUAGUUCUAAUUGAAAUAAAAUGUGAAAAGAGUGGUUUGUGAAAAUUAAAAUUUAAUACAAAUAUCAGAAAUAUUGCGAAAACUUAUGGUAUAAGGUGAAGGAGCUGUAGUAUAAAAGCGUGAUGUGACGGUGUAGCAUUAUAUGAAAUCGGUUGCAGCGUGAAAAAUUCAGACGUCAAAGUGGGGUUUUGUCGCCCAAAUGCAAUUUCGUGCCGAAAAAAUAGUAAUUAUAUUAAAAAAAGUACGCUAAUCAACAAAACACCCUCUAUAUAUGGAGUAAUGAAAAAAAUUGCCCGCAAAAAGUUCGAAAAGUUUUCAGAGAACAGUAGAGCAAUACAAUUGUCGCGGGCAACUAAGGAACUACGUGUAUAAACUUAUAUAAAUAUAUAUUUAAAAGCAUGCAAGCAUAAACAUUAUACAAUAUUUGGUGUUGGUUUUGUAAAAUUAAAGACUGGACUGAAGUGUAUAUUAAAUGAAAAAAAUAUAAUAAUUAACUAACAAAAUAACUCCAGUGACGGCGCUUGAGAAGGUU
rnacentral:lncRNA from 1 species